rnacentral:rRNA from 1 species
CACUCCUACGGGAGGCAGCAGUGGGGAAUUUUGGACAAUGGGCGAAAGCCUGAUCCAGCAAUGCCGCGUGAGUGAAGAAGGCCUUCGGGUUGUAAAGCUCUUUUGUCAGGGAAGAAACGGUGAGAGCUAAUAUCUUUUGCUAAUGACGGUACCUGAAGAAUAAGCACCGGCUAACUACGUGCCAGCAGCCGCGGUAAUACGUAGGGUGCAAGCGUUAAUCGGAAUUACUGGGCGUAAAGCGUGCGCAGGCGGUUUUGUAAGUCUGAUGUGAAAUCCCCGGGCUCAACCUGGGAAGUGCAUUGGAGACUGCAAGGCUAGAAUCUGGCAGAGGGGGGUAGAAUUCCACGUGUAGCAGUGAAAUGCGUAGAUAUGUGGAGGAACACCGAUGGCGAAGGCAGCCCCCUGCGUCAAGAUUGACGCUCAUGCACGAAAGCGUGGGGAGCAAACAGGAUUAGAUACCCUAGUAGUCCC